AGACCGAACGCUGGCGGCAUGCCUAACACAUGCAAGUCGAACGAGACCUUCGGGUCUAGUGGCGCACGGGUGCGUAACGCGUGGGAAUCUGCCCUUGGGUUCGGGAUAACAGUUGGAAACGACUGCUAAUACCGGAUAAUGACUUCGGUCCAAAGAUUUAUUGCCCAGGGAUGAGCCCGCGUAGGAUUAGCUAGUUGGUGAGGUAAAGGCUCACCAAGGCGACGAUCCUUAGCUGGUCUGAGAGGAUGAUCAGCCACACGUGGGGCUGGAGACCACGGCCCAGACCUCCGUACGGGAGGCAGCAGGUGGGGAAUAGUUGGACAAGUGGGACGAAAGCCUAGACUCCAAGCAAUCGGCCGCGUAGAGUUGAGUACGGAAGGUCGUUAAGGGUUGUAAAGUCCGUUACGUUUUAACCCGGAUUGGAAUAAGUGAAC
rnacentral:rRNA from 1 species